rnacentral:misc_RNA from 1 species
UACGGAGGGUGCAAGCGUUAAUCGGAAUUACUGGGCGUAAAGCGCGCGUAGGUGGCUUGAUAAGCCGGUUGUGAAAGCCCCGGGCUCAACCUGGGAACGGCCUCCGGAACUGUCAAGCUAGAGUGCAGGAGAGGAAGGUAGAAUUCCCUGUGUAGCGGUGAAAUGCGUAGAGAUCGGGAGGAAUACCAGUGGCGAAGGCGGCCUUGUGGACUGACACUGACACUGCGGUGCGGAAGCGUGGGUAGCAAACCGG